rnacentral:tRNA from 1 species
GCAUUGGUGGUUCAGUGGUAGAACUCUCAUCUUCCAUGUGGGAGACCCAGGUUCGAUUCCUAGCCAACCCA